GUUGGAAUGGGAUAGGUAGUUCCCCGUUUCCAGGACCCCAGACGGCCUGCUGGGACAGUGUAUAUGAGUCCGGAAUGGGCUGGACCAGGGUCAGGCUAGCCCAGACUUCAGGUACGGGCUGUGAUGACGAGGAGUGGGCUAGUCUCCCGGGUCGGUCACCGCUGAACUCUCAGACAAUCAAGCUUUCGAUGAUCAUGUGAUGAGGUUUCCAGUCAGUUCCAGGUGAAGACACCACUGGCCAUCAAGAAGCUACCCUCUCCCCACCAGACAGAGCAGGAUGAGAGUUCUAUAAUCCUCAAUAGGAGGAAGCACUCAAUUGAACAAGUGCAGGAACCAGCUGGCUGCCUCAGCACUGACAGAAGCAAAUUCCAUUUGCUUGGACCCACUGCAUUCCAUCCCUUGUGGAAGAGAGCAUGUAAGCAAGUGAGUGCAGGAACUGGCUGGCUGCUUUGGUGCUGGCAGGAGCAAACACCAUGAAGGCCCCAUGGCAGAGUCCAGGACAGGACCUUCAGGCCUCUGAAAAAAAAAGGAUCAAAGAACUGAAACUCACCAGAUCACCUCACCAGAUGCUGGACCCCUCAUUCACCAUGUUUGCUUCCUUGCCUCUCCCUAGUUCUUAUUUUCUUACACAUUGUUACAUUUCUUCCCUGCUAUAUCAACCCCUAGUUCUAGUCAGUCAUGGAGAUGGAUUUGAGACUGAUCUCCCAUCCCCUCAGCUACACCACCUGAUUAAAGCCUUCUUCCUUGGCAAUAAUCAUUGUCUCAGUCAUUGGCUUUCUGUGCAGGGAGCAGCAGGACCUAGACUAAACCCCUGGUGUUUUGGUAACAAAAUAAGGCCAGGCACAGAAAGACAAACAUCACAUGUUCACACUUAUUUGUGGGAUCUAAAUACCAGAACAAUUGAACUCAUAGAGAUAGAGAGUAGAAGGAUUAUUACCAGAGGCUGGGAAGUGUGGUUGAAGGAGUUGGUGGGCAGUGGGGAUGUAGAAUGUGUCCAAAAAAAGGAAUAGAAUGAAGAAGUCCUAGUAUUUGAUAGCACAACAGGGUGACUAUAGUCAAUAAUCAUUUAACUGUACAUUUUAAAAUAACUUAAAAGGUGUAAUUGGGUUGUUUGUAACACAAAUGAUAAAUGCUUGAAGGAAUUGCUACUCCAUUUUCCAUGAUGUGAUUAUUGUGCAUUGCAUGCCUGUAUCAAAAUGCCUCAUGUACCUCAUAAAUAUAUAUACCUACUAUGUACCCACAAAAAUUUUU
rnacentral:lncRNA from 1 species